CUUUGACCGUGCGAAGGUAGCGCAAUCACUUGUCUUUUAAAUGAAGACCUGAUAUGAAUGGCAUAACGAGGGCUUAACUGUCUCCUCUUUCCAGUCAAUGAAAUUGAUCUUUCCGUGCAGAAGCGGGAAUAAAAACAUAAGACGAGAAGACCCUAUGGAGCUUUAGACACCAAGGCAGAUCAUGUUAAUAACCCUGAAUAAAGGACUAAACCAGAUGGAACCUGCCCUUUUGUCUAUUGGUAUGGGGCGACCGCGGGGAAUUAAAAAACCCCCACGUGGAAUCGGGAGCACCCCUCCUACAGCUAAGAGCAACAGCUCUAGUAAACAGAAAUUCUGACCAGUAAGAUCCGGCAAUGCCGAUCAACGGACCGAGUUACCCUAGGGAUAACAGCGCAAUCCUCUUUUAGAGCCCAUAUCGACAAA
rnacentral:rRNA from 1 species